CUCCAUGGAAUACUGGUCUUUGUAAAAGAUCUGAAUUGAGAGAAAUGCGGGUGUUGCUCAGCUACUGGAAUGUGUUGAAGUUGUCAAUGCUCUGCCCUGCGUCUCAACGAAACCAGUGGUAUUUUGAAGCCUAGAACCUUUUUCUGUGUGGGCCCUGAAGUCCUUUGUCCUGCAAAACUUCCCAAGGGGAUGGAUGUCUCUGGGCUGAGCGCCAGACCCUGUUCUUCCCAGUGGCUUGUGGUUUGGAAGCUGACUACAGUGCCCCUCCUUGUGUCUCUGGUGUGGAAAGGAAUCAUCCACCCUCACCCCGGGUGAGGCCUGGACCAUGUGGACGCCCCAGGAAGGCAGAAUGGAUACUUUUGUACAGUCCCUGCUGCGAUCCUUCCAGGAGAGGAGCCUCUCAGAAAACGCAGUUGUUUUCCGUGUCUACCAGGUGUUCAGCACAGCCCAAAGGGUCCUGGGCCACCAGUUCCACAGUCCACAGGUUCCCAACUUGCACAGUGAUAGAAGAGUCAGAAUCUCCUUCCUACGGACAUCAUCAGGGGUCUAUGAAUGAUAUCUGCAACGCACGUGAGCUGGUGCCCUGUGUAUCUGAGGCACAAUUUUAAGGAUCGUGCAUUGACAUAUAGAGGAACACCCCGACAUGAAGCCCUCCCAAUGGAAAUCAAGAGAUCUAUGUGAUCCUGGGCUGACAGUCGCUCCCCAACGACAAACCCUGUCGUCUCCCAACCUGCUCUGUGGAGGCAUCAAUGUUCUCCUUCUGGAUCCAAAGACCA